rnacentral:tRNA from 1 species
GGACUGUGGCUCAGCGGUAGAGCACUUGCCUAGCAUGUGCGAGGCCCUGGGUUCCAUCCUCAGCACCA